CUAGUAUUACCAUUACUUAAAAAUGUUGUCGUGUUCGUAAACUAAAACAAUUUGACCAUUUGUUACCAAACAUUGAAAUUAUUAUUUAUCUGGAUGUUUUAAGAAAGGUGAAAGAUGCCAGAGGGACAUUCAAACUCAUAGGUUGAAAAUAAAGAGACAACGCCAUGGCUAAAAAGAUAAAGACAAACAUACAAACAAAAGACAACAAAGAAUACAUACAACUAAGCAACACACAAACCCACGUAAAAUUUGGGGCGAUUUCAAGUUCUCCGGAAGGGUAAGCAGAUCCUGCUCCAUAUGUGGCAUCCGUAGUGUUGCUCAUGUUAGUACAAA
rnacentral:lncRNA from 1 species